GCCUGCUUCGCGCCAGCGACGGCCUGUUGCCCCACCGUCGCCUCCGCCCGCCUCGAGGCGCGGAGGGAUCAGGGAGGUCACUCCCAGGGACGCCGGCUUGGAAGUCCUGCCCCCUGUGAUCCCGUUUGUGGGUAGCGGGAAAGCACUCUGCACUUGCUCAGAUGCUCUCUUGUUAGUGCUUAGCGCCGAGUAUAUGUUCCAUGGUUUGAGACCUGGAGAUUCUGAAGUGCUAAAUUGGACAUAGCGACGCGCAGGCUGGUAAUUUUCUUUAUUUUCACAUUUGUAUCGCACAUGAGCAUAAGGUUCUUAAUCUCAGGGUCGUGGGUUUGAGCAAAAGAUUUCUGCAUUGCAGGGGGUUGGACUAGAUGACCCUCGUGAUCCCUUCCAACUCUGUGAUUCUGUUAUUUCCUCCCAAGGAGCUUAAGGUGUCCCAAUAGGGUUCUCUCGUUGCAACUCUUAUUUAGCCUCUUUGUCAGCCUAGCCAAAGAUCAGGGGUUAUGGGUGUUGUAGUCUCCAAAAAUACCUAGAAGGCCACAGGUUCGCCGUACCUGUUACACACUGUCGUGGGCUCUGCAGACCCUCCAAGUGCCCCUAUUUUCAAGGAACAUCCCCAAUUUAGAGAAGCCGUCCUGGUUCCUGAUUUGAUCUUGCAAUGUCCCACUUUUCCUGAUGGUGUCCCUAUUUUCGCUGGAGAAAUGUUGGAGGGUAUGGAAUUAUCCGACCCCCAAGCUGUCUGAAGGCAAUCCUGUAGCUUUCCUGAAGCUUUUUUAAUGUUUAAUGUUUUAUUAUGUUUUUAUAUAUGUUGGAAGCUGCCCAGAGUGGCUGGGGGAGCCCAGUAAGAUGUAUGGAGUAUAAAUAGUAAAAUUAUAAUUAUGAAAAGGGACGUCCCUCUUUUCAAUGGAGAAAUGUUGGAGGGUAUGUGCCUGUUGUAUUUCUUUAUUCUGCAACAGCUUGUCUCUCCACUGAUUUCAAUACAAGAGGAUUCUAAUAUUUUGGUUAAAUAUAUGUGGGGUAUGUGUGUUAAUUGCCCUUCAGUAUGUUUUCAGCAUUUAAAAUAUCCACCAGCAGAUGUAGUGUGUGAAAUGACAGGCUGUGCACCGCAUGGUGCCAUAGUGUUCAAGUGCAUGCAUGUGCUCUUAGAAAACAAGAAACAGUCACCCACCCACUCAGAAAUGGAAUAGAGGCCUUGGGACACUCUUUCCCACCUGCCUGAUUUAUUUUUUAUUUUUGGACUACAACUCCAAUUAGUUCCUGCCAGUGUGGCCAGUGAUCAGGGAUGCUGGGAGCUGUAGUCCAAAAUAUCUGGAAGUCAGCAAGGGAAGAAGUGGAACAAUUAAAAAUGGGCAAGGCCCAGAGUCACAGGGAAGGCCCGGCCAGAUGGGCGGGGUAUGAGUAAUAAGUUAUUAUUAUUGUUGUUGUUAUUGUUGUUGUUAUUAUUUAUUAUAAGGCAAUUAGCUCACACUAGUGUGUGUGUGCAUUAGUAUGUAUUUAUUAAAAAAUGUUUUUAUACCACUUUUUAUUUAAAAAUCAUAAAGCAGUGUACAGCAGAAUAUAAAAACUACCACAAAACCACAACCUGUAUUGUAAUAACAACAAUAAUAGUUAAUCCAAUGCAAAAAGAUUAAAAACAGACAGAUAAUAAUUGCCAACAAAGGUUUGGGGAAAUAAAAGAGUUUUCAAUAGGCAUUGAAACACCAACAAUAUGCCAUAACUCAGAGAGAAGUUUGCAUCUAUAUUGCAGUUGUUGCAUGUUAAAGGAGACUCAUUUGAUUAAUCAUUUUGAGUUUUGUUUAGUUAAGCAAUACAUUCAUCAAUUUA
rnacentral:lncRNA from 1 species